rnacentral:rRNA from 1 species
UACGGAGGGUGCAAGCGUUAUCCGGAUUCACUGGGUUUAAAGGGUGCGUAGGCGGGUAUGUAAGUCAGCGGUGAAAUCUCCGAGCUUAACUUGGGAACUGCCGUUGAUACUAUAUAUCUUGAAUGUCGUGGAGGUUAGCGGAAUAUGUCAUGUAGCGGUGAAAUGCUUAGAUAUGACAUAGAACACCCAUUGCGAAGGCAGCUAACUACGCGAAUAUUGACGCUGAGGCACGAAAGCGUGGGGAUCAAACAGG